ensembl:lncRNA
GAACUUUUCUAUGAUAUUCUAAUUUUUGAGAUGUAUAUUUUAAUUCCCUCACACAAGUGCUCCUCGCUUUUUUUGGACUUGAAUCAACAGUUCGGACCAGUGUCGCCACCUUGUGGACCAACUAAUUAGUGCACAAAAAACAAGCUGAUCAUACAGCGUAAACACGGUAGAUUCUUUCUUUCUUUUCUUUCUUUCUUUCUUUCUUUCUUUCUUUUCUUUUUUAAAUUUUAUUGAAAAAAAGGAAAAUAUAAAUAUAUGCAUGAAUAAAGAACACAUACAAAUAUAAACAUAGUACAUAUAAUAUCCACCUCAUUUUUAAAGUAAUUAAAAGUCAGUUAGUGAAUUGAAUGUGCGAGACUUCUUGUGUUAUUGACUUUCAGUAAUUUUUGCUGUACAAAAACAGUCAGUUAAGCUGCUUGAUAUCGCAUUUCUUUUUCUUUUUUUUCUUCUUUUUUUAUGUCAUAAUCACAAACACAAUGGUGUGGAGGUCAAAUAGCUUUAUCGUUUACUCCACUUUAAAAAAUCUCCAUGGGCCUAGCAGCUAAUAAAUUGAAAGUCUUGCACAAUUCCAAGAAAUUAAAAUAAGAUGGAUAAAGGGGAUAGAUUUUCAAUGAAUGACUUCCAUUUGGUUCUGUUUCUCACACAGAGCACCACACAGCUUCAUAGGAUUAGUGCACUAGGUAUGCGUUCAUAUGCUGUUAUGAUGUUUUUGGGACAGUUGUGGUAAUUCUGAACUGUUGUUGUGUGUAAAACAUUCUUAUUUGAACAAAUAACCUAACUCAGGUUUGUGUGGUUGAGUGUUUUCUCAGUGUUGGAGUUGUCCUGAAGCCGCCGCUGUGAUGGUCAUGUGAUGUGAUGGGGGUCGUAACCAGGUGUCUGACAGUCUGACAGAUUGUUGACACUGACUCCGAAAAAUCUCAAACUAUUUUUAUCUGCCCCUGUGUUUGGCUCCAAGCGACUUCAGAUUGACCGAUUGCAAGAAACAUCCGGAGCUCAAACGCCUGCUGAGCAGAAGUUAGACAGUUUCAGUGCUGUCACAUGUCCAAGCCUGCCAGCCAAUCCGUGACCCCGGAACCGCUCUGACAUCAGGCAGCAGCCCGUGGAGCGGCCGGCGGAGAGGCAUGUGUUUGUGACCCAUAUCACAGAGGUAUCUGUGACCGGCUGUGUGCGGCGUGUUUAAUAACCGGAGACGGAUCCUCCUCCUGCAGUGCUGUUUCUUCGCUCUUCGGUAAAAGAGCUUUCAGAAGAAAUAUCGUAAUCUUGGGCGCAGGCCGCUGUAGGGGUGGAGGGACUGUCAGAGUUCAUCUCUGUUUCUCCUCGGGAGAAACGCCCACCGUCCGGAUCCGGCCACCUCCGGCUCUUCUGGAAAUUAGGGGAUUUUUCUUGUGCGUGGCUCUGUCACCUUGCCUUAAACACACAGGGAGCGAGAGCGGCGGGUGAGAGAGGAACAGGCCGUGAUGCAGAACCUGGCCUCGGGUGAUUGGAGAAAACCAGUCGUGAUGUUUUGUGCGUCUGGUCAAUGGAUGAGCUCUCCUGCGUUCAGCUGACCCUCAGGAAACGUCUCCAGUUAUCUGCUGCAUAUGAGAGUCAUUUCUCCUGCACUCCCGGGCUUCACGACACCGAGAUGCUUGUAGAUGAUUGUGUUUUCAGUACAUUUCAACUCAGAAUCAGCUCGAGAUGCAGAUUUAAGUAUUUCUAUGCAUUUUCUAUGAAAUUUAAAAACAUGUGUAGAAUUAAUGUUGUUGCAGUGAAGCACUCAAACUCAGCUUGGAGUUCAUUUUCAUAUUUUCA